UGGGGAAUAUUGGACAAUGGGCGAAAGCCUGAUCCAGCCAUGCCGCGUGUGUGAAGAAGGUCUUCGGAUUGUAAAGCACUUUAAGUUGGGAGGAAGGGCAGUAAGUUAAUACCUUGCUGUUUUGACGUUACCAACAGAAUAAGCACCGGCUAACUUCGUGCCAGCAGCCGCGGUAAUACGAAGGGUGCAAGCGUUAAUCGGAAUUACUGGGCGUAAAGCGCGCGUAGGUGGUUCAGCAAGUUGGAUGUGAAAUCCCCGGGCUCAACCUGGGAACUGCAUCCAAAACUACUGAGCUAGAGUACGGUAGAGGGUGGUGGAAUUUCCUGUGUAGCGGCGAAAUGCGUAGAUAUAGGAAGGAACACCAGUGGCGAAGGCGACCACCUGGACUGAUACUGACACUGAAGUGCGAAAGCGUGGGGAGCAAACAGGAUUAGAUACCCUGGUAGUCCACGCCGUAAACGAUGUCGACUAGCCGUUGGGAUCCUUGAGAUCUUAGUGGCGCAGCUAACGCGAUAAGUCGACCGCCUGGGGAGUACGGCCGCAAGGUUA
rnacentral:rRNA from 1 species